rnacentral:lncRNA from 1 species
GAAAAUGUAUAUGCAAGUGAAUUGGUAAGAUUGUGCAUGUGUAAGUGAUUGAAAUUGCUAAGAAAUGUUUUGAUUAGUUAUAUGUUAAAAGUGUUAAUUAUUAAAUGAGUAAUUAUUGUUUACAUGUAACUUACUAAGCUAUUAGUAGCUUACACCUUUCUUCUUUUCCUUUGUUUUAUAGUGAUUUGAACUUGAUCGAAUUGAGGAUCGUC